rnacentral:rRNA from 1 species
AUUGAACGCUGGCGGCAGGCUUAACACAUGCAAGCCGAGCGAGCGGCGGACGGGUGAGUAAUGUCUGGGAAACUGCCUGCUGGAGGGGGAUAACUACUGGAAACGGGAGCUAAUACCGCAUACCAUCAGAUGUGCCCAGAUGGGAUUAGCUAGUAGGUGGGGUAAGGGCGCACCUAGGCGACGAUCCCUAGCUUGUCUGAGAGGAUGACCAGUGACUAUGGAACAGAGACAGGUUCAAGAUUCCUACGGGAGGCAGCCGUGGGGAAAAUGGGUCCACGGGCGCAAGCCUGAUGCAGCCAUGCCCCGUCCGUGCCGAAGUCCUUGGGGUCGUAAAGCACUUUCGGAGAGGAGGCGGUAUUCGCAGAAGCAGCACCGGCUAACUCCGGGCCAGCAGCCGCGGUAAUAC